rnacentral:rRNA from 1 species
CCAACAGGGAUUGCUCUAGUAACGGCGAGUGAAGCAGCAAUAGCUCAAAUUUGAAAUCUGGCGUCUUCGACGUCCGAGUUGUAAUUUGUAGAGGAUGCUUCUGAGUGGCCACCGACCUAAGUUCCUUGGAACAGGACGUCAUAGAGGGUGAGAAUCCCGUAUGCGGUCGGAAAGGCGCUCUAUACGUAGCUCCUUCGACGAGUCGAGUUGUUUGGGAAUGCAGCUCUAAAUGGGAGGUAAAUUUCUUCUAAAGCUAAAUAUUGGCCAGAGACCGAUAGCGCACAAGUAGAGUGAUCGAAAGAUGAAAAGCACUUUGGAAAGAGAGUUAAAAAGCACGUGAAAUUGUUAAAAGGGAAGGGAUUGCAACCAGACUUGCUCGCGGUGUUCCGCCGGUCUUCUGACCGGUCUACUCGCCGCGUUGCAGGCCAGCAUCGUCUGGUGCCGCUGGAUAAGACUUGAGGAAUGUAGCUCCUUCGGGAGUGUUAUAGCCUCUUGUGAUGCAGCGAGCGCCGGGCGAGGUCCGCGCUUCGGCUAGGAUGCUGGCGUAAUGGUCGUAAUCCGCCC